AGUGCCUGCAUUUCCACUGUAAAUCCUUUAGGGGCUCAAUCUUGAUUUUACUUUUCCCUUGUUCUGUGUCCUCGGGAAAGUUUCUUAAGCCUCUCUGAGCCUCCCUUGCUUCCUAUGUCCUCUAGAAGUAUUGACUACCCUGCAGUGGUUAAGAGGUUUGCAUUUUAAAAUUCAAGCGUGGCAUCCAUCCCGGAAUUAGUUGGUUUUCUUUUUCUUCCCAGAUGGAUACUUAUGGAGCCUCCCUUUCUCUGCACCUCAUAGAAAACCCAGCUUAUAUUUCGCCCACAGUGGAGAGUCAAACAUCAGUGUCUUCAGAGCACAGUUGCUGAGGUCUCAGCACGUCUAUGAUUACAGCACAGGUGAUCUACCAUGGGCCUCAGACAGCAGAUCAGCAGCUCUUGGGCAACUUCUCAGGGAGUAAUUUCCCAGUGUCUUUAGGAGUCACGGGCUUGGCAUUCCAAACAAAAAAGAGGCAAAGCAAAAGCAAACAAACUAAAUGUUUAUAGUCAAGCCUAGAUAACGCUGGUGCCGCUCUCUCCAUUUGUUUGGAUUUUUGAGACUGGGUCUCGCUGUGUAUCUGCUGCCUGACGUUUGUUAGAUGGCUGAGGCUGGACCCUCGGCGUGUGCUACCAAACCCAACCUGGCACUGGAUCCUCUCUACCUGAGCAUAGCAGGAACUCUACAGAUCCUGCCUGAUGAUGGAAGGAAUGGCCUUUAAACCAAAUUCUAGCGUGUUUCAAUCUUUGUGCAAAGGUCUGGGUAUGGCCUCUCAAAAGACAGACCAGAACUAAGAAGGACCAUGUAACCUUUGCAGAAUGAAGUCUUUUGGGUAAUGCAACACAGUGACAUGACCCUGAGUGCUGAUACUUUGAUAGUGCUACGUUGGCAAAAUAAGUUCCUUUAAAACAAACAAGGAAUUGGCAUACUACAAGUGCUUACUUAGUUUUAUAUGUGGGGAGAAGUUCUUGCUGCUUCCUUAACGCAACAGAAACUUGAAAGUCAUGAAUAAAACAUAUUCUAUAAUAUA